rnacentral:lncRNA from 1 species
GGGCACUUUCUUCAACUAGGAGACCUUUGCCAGAGCAUGUGAAGACCUUCUUGGCAAACACCAGCCAUGCUCACUUCUCACCAUCCCCCAGUGCCACCUACUCUCUGCUCAACACUCUCCAUGCCCCUCCCAGAGCCAUUGAUCCCGUUCCACCAGAAGAUCACAUCUUAGAAAUGCCCCAGACAUCGUUGGACAUUUCUUCAUGCUUCAUGAGCUUCAAAAUCUUUUAAAAAUUUAAUGCGCUUAUGAAUCUCUAACAAGCUCCUAAAUAACUUGUAUGCUAUUGUUAAAAAACUCCAAAUAUUAAUAAGUAUUAGUAAAAUGUUGCUGUUAAUAGUAAAUCAGCUAAGCGUCAAAAUGCUACCUGGAAAAGCAAGCAGAAUAGACAUUCCAAUGUUAAAGGGCAUCAAGAGCAAGACUCUUAAAGAGCCUAUGAAAUCAUUUAAGUGUGAGAUAAAAAGGUUGGGAAUUUCAUACAUAUUUAGC